rnacentral:rRNA from 1 species
AACGGUAACAUUUCUAGCUUGCUAGNAAGAUGACCGAGUGGCGGACGGGUGAGUAAUGCUUGGGAACUUGCCUUUGCGAGGGGGAUAACAGUUGGAAACGACUGCUAAUACCGCAUAAUGUCUUCGGACCAAACGGGGCUUAGGCUCCGGCGCAAAGAGAGGCCCAAGUGAGAUUAGCUAGUUNGGNAAGGUAACGGCUUACCAAGGCGACGAUCUCUAGCUGUUCUGAGAGGAAGAUCAGCCACACUGGGACUGAGACACGGCCCAGACUCCUACGGGAGGCAGCAGUGGGGAAUAUUGCACAAUGGGGGAAACCCUGAUGCAGCCAUGCCGCGUGUGUGAAGAAGGCCUUCGGGUUGUAAAGCACUUUCAGUUGUGAGGAAAAGUUAGUAGUUAAUACCUGCUAGCCGUGACGUUAACAACAGAAGAAGCACCGGCUAACUCCGUGCCAGCAGCCGCGGUAAUACGGAGGGUGCGAGCGUUAAUCGGAAUUACUGGGCGUAAAGCGCACGCAGGCGGUUUGUUAAGCUAGAUGUGAAAGCCCCGGGCUCAACCUGGGAUGGUCAUUUAGAACUGGCAGACUAGAGUCUUGGANAGGGGGAGUGGAAUUCCAGGUGUAGCGGUGAAAUGCGUAGAUAUCUGGAGGAACAUCAGUGGCGAAGGCGACUCCCUGGCCAAAGACUGACGCUCAUGUGCGAAAGUGUGGGUAGCGAACAGGAUUAGAUACCCUGGUAGUCCACACCGUAAACGCUGUCUAC